rnacentral:rRNA from 1 species
AGUGAACGCUGGCGGUAGGCCUAACACAUGCAAGUCGAACAGCAGCACAGUAAGAGCUUGCUCUUACGGGUGGCGAGUGGCGGACGGGUGAGGAAUACAUCGGAAUCUACUUUUUCGUGGGGGAUAACGUAGGGAAACUUACGCUAAUACCGCAUACGACCUACGGGUGAAAGCAGGGGAUCUUCGGACCUUGCGCGAUUGAAUGAGCCGAUGUCGGAUUAGCUACUUGGCGGGGUAAAGGCCCACCAAGGCGACGAUCCGUAGCUGGUCUGAGAGGAUGAACAGCCACACUGGAACUGAGACACGGUCCAGACUCCUACGGGAGGCAGCAGUGGGGAAUAUUGGACAAUGGGCGCAAGCCUGAUCCAGCCAUACCGCGUAGGUGAAGAAGGCCUUCGGGUUGUAAAGCCCUUUUGUUGGGAAAGAAAAGCAGCAGGUUAAUACCCCGCUGUUCUGACGGUACCCAAAGAAUAAGCACCGGCUAACUUCGUG